rfam:Gasterosteus aculeatus cont1.005423, whole genome shotgun sequence.
ACGUUAUCGGCAGCAGUGCCUUCCAUAAUGU